GACGAACGCUGGCGGCGUGCUUAAUACAUGCAAGUCGAACGGAAAGGCCCUGCUUUUGUGGGGUGCUCGAGUGGCGAACGGGUGAGUAACACGUGAGUAACCUGCCCUUGACUUUGGGAUAGCUUCAGGAAACUGGGGCUAAUACCGGAUAGGAGCUCCUGCUGCAUGGUGGGGGUUGGAAAGUUUCGGCGGUUGGGGAUGGACUCGCGGCUUAUCAGCUUGUUGGUGGGGUAGUGGCUUACCAAGGCUUUGACGGGUAGCCGGCCUGAGAGGGUGACCGGCCACAUUGGGACUGAGAUACGGCCCAGACUCCUACGGGAGGCAGCAGUGGGGAAUAUUGCACAAUGGGCGGAAGCCUGAUGCAGCAACGCCGCGUGCGGGAUGACGGCCUUCGGGUUGUAAACCGCUUUCGCCUGUGACGAAGCGUGAGUGACGGUAAUGGGUAAAGAAGCACCGGCUAACUACGUG
rnacentral:rRNA from 1 species